rnacentral:lncRNA from 1 species
UUUAUUAUUGAUGCCCUAGCUAUAAUGGCAUAUUAGGAGUUUUAUGUUUCUUUGGGUGAUGCCAAUAUACUGGAGAGAUGUAAAAUAUAGAACUUCACAUAAGAAUGCACUCAUUAUUAAUAGUGUUGCUAUGGGCUUAUGCCCUAUAAAAACAGGAAUUUUAGUAAACUCUAUCCUAUAUGAGUUCCUUUUUUAAAAAUGUGUGUGAUACCUUUGUCAUUGUAUACGCUCCACUAAGAAGUAUAUUCCCAAUGGGCAAGAGGCUCUGUUUUGACCAGGCAUUAAUAAGAAUAAAAAUUUCCACUGAAAAAAAAAAAAAAAACCACAAAAUUUCUACUGAGAAUUUUACAUAUAUGGUGACUAGUUUCUGGAUCCAUACAAUUUAAGCCUUGUUUCUCUUCUAUUGCAGGCUGCCAUGGGGCACAUUCAUGUUCCCUACAAGCUCUGGCUAUGCAUCUUCGUGUCCUGACACCCAGUGAGUUAGCAUAGUGGACAGGAGCGGUACCCCUGAGAGCCAUUUCUACACCGAGACAGCCAGUAGUAAGUUGACACAGCAUGGAAGAAACUGCAGCCCACAUAAAUAGAUUUCAUUAAACCCAAAUAAACUAAAUAUAUUCCCAAUUCAACUUCCCUUAACCAGGUCCCCCAAACACCCACUGUCACUCCAAAGCCAUUCCACAGGAAGGGGAUAUGUGAAGUCCAAGCAGAAUCAGUGAUCUCAUUUAAUUUUGAUAAAAGUAUUUCCUUUUUGCAAAUCUUUUUAAAAAGUGUGACCAUAUAAAAGUGUUGUUAAGGCCUCUCCCAGGAUCUUCAAAGAAGCCCUGUAAGUAAGGGGCCCUUCUAAGUUUCAAUUUCAUUAGCUUCAUAGAAAAUCUACUUCUAGGGGGUAAAAACAAUCUCAGCUUUCCCUUGGUCUAGGCUCCAUCAAAAGACAGCAGUACUUGUGGGGUUUUCUCCAUUAAGCACAUGUUUAUUGAAUACUGACUAUGUGCCAGGCACUAGGAGUAGGGUACUGCUAAGAUGAACACAGUCUCUCAUGAGCUUAUGCUUUAGCUAAGAGAUGGACAGCAAUCAAAGAGUCAUUCUUUAGAUCAAUAUCAUGAGAGUAUUCUUUUAACAUGCCUGUUAAUGCCCCGAUCAAACUGGUUAUUGUGAUUUGUGGGCAUGAGAGGGGAAGGCCAGGAAAGCAAGGAGCUACUUAGUGGAAGACCCCUCAGGAGCAGCUCUCCUCUGACCUUGUGGUUCUCUGUGGGCUCAGAGUCUGGCCCCUGAGCUCACACCUGCUGCGAUCAGCUUGGCAUCACCGUCAGCCUCUUCCUCUAGGAACAUGAGGCUAGAAAAGGCUUGCUCAGUAGGGCUUCUCCAGCAGGAGAACACAGGUCCCAAAGCCCAGCAGAGGAAACUCUGGAUGCUGGUCCAAGGAAGCUGAAGAAGGUCCCUGAAGUGAGUAGUAGUUAGUGCAGCUAAGUACAACUCAUCCUAACUAAAAAUGGGAAAACGUAAAUUUUUAAAAAGAUUUAUUUAUUGGAGAGAGAAAGAGCAUGUGUGAGCACACAGUAGAGAGGGGCAGAGGGAGAGGGAGAGAAAAUCUCCAGCAGACUCUGCACUGAGCAGCCCACUGCAGGGCUCGAUUCCAGGAUCCUGAGACCCUGACCUGAGCUGAAACCAAGAGUCUGUGCCACUCAGGUGCCCUGUGAAGCUCUUCAAUGAACAUCACCAGGAUGUUCUGACCUUCUGUUACACCUGCCCUUCUUUCCUCCCCUCUACAGAGUCAGCCUGUUGACCUAUCUUCUACCUUCUUUCAGCCAAGCACCUUGAAAUAGAUACCUACACUCAUUAUUUCCACUUCUCACCUCCAAUUUACUACUAACCUACACACAUCUGGCUUCUGCUACUGAAACUGCAGAUACCAAGAGUCACAGGUGCUGUCACUGCCCUGUCCAUACCUCCGCCCCUACUCCUAGAGUGCACACCAGACUUCCAACUGCCAGGACCUGCGUUCAUUCGCUUCCUUAUACAAGCAAGGUCUGCUCUGUUGCCCAAGCAGCAGGUUGGAAAAGUCACUGAGUUAUGCCCUCCAAGAGCAGCUCUCAACCAGUGACCCGCAGGAGUUGGUAUAUAAAUAUUCCAGGUCCCUCAUCCCUUAAGAGGGAUAACUAUGAGCUGGGUGUUCUGCACUGAUCUCUCGAAUUUUCCAUGGGAAAUUAAACUUUAACUGCUCACUGUGGUUGCUGGCUUGGUAACUCAUCCUUUAUUGGCUGUUCCCCAGUCCUGUUUCACUCUAUCCCACCUCCCAGGGUUUCUUCAUCUUCCAAAUACACCGAUCCUUAUCUCAGGGUCUGCUUAGGGAAACCCAAACCUAGGACCAAGAUCACCACCAACAUCCUAAUCAUUUCAGUCCUAAUUAGUCAGUUAACAAGUGUGCACUGAGUAUCUACGUGGUGCUGGGCACCAUCUAAUCUUACUUCACCUCUUUGUUAUGUUUAAUACUGGUAACCACUCCUUCUUGAAGCCCUCUUUCCAUGGAUUCUGGCUUCCUUCUAUCAUCGGCAGCUCCUUUUCCACCUAUUCCCCACACAGUAGUAUUCCCCAGAGUUCUCAUGCCCUGUUUUAGUGAUGUGACAUACUCACAUGGGGUCAAAUCCCACUUACUUAUCGAAGAUUUCCAAAUCUACUUUUACUUUCUCCUGGGUUCUAGACUUUUAUGUCCAACUGCCUGUUGGAUAUUUUUACCCAGAAGCUGCAAAAUCACUCCAAAUUCAAUAUAUCCAGUGUUUAAGGGGCUACUGGAUGGCUUCUAUGUCAAGAUAAGUAUGUAAGGAAAUGGGGUAGAAGAUAUUGGCAAGAAAGCAGUUAAAGGCAAUGGACCAUAGGGUCUAGGCUCAAAAAGGAGGAAAGUGAUUCUAGAAGGCUGAGAGAUUGGCAAGAAAAUGGAAGAGUCAAAGGCAAUGCGGGAUUACCCAAUAGAUACAUUCAUUCUCAGGGCACCCAGCAAAGCAAAGGGACCACCUACAACAUUUUUGGGGAAAGAAUUUGAAAUUGAAAAAACAACAAAAAAACAAAGCACUGAAAUAAUCACCAUGGGAAAAGUCAGAACUUUAUUGGACUUCCUUAUGCUUAUUUUACAAGUUAGUAUUGUUUUUAUUUUAAAUUCCAUAGGGGAGCAUUCUCUUUUCUGGUGCUUCGGAAGAUUAAAGGUCUGGCCUGGGUCUAAGAAGUUGAUGAAAUUAAAACAUAGCUAGAAAAAAAAAAAAAAAAACAUAGCUAGAAUAGGAGCAAGGGAGAGAGGAUGCUGGAAAGAUAGAGGUUGUCAUCCAGGAUUAGAUGCUCUCUUAACUGAUCGUGUCUUUACUGACCUACUGGGCUCACUAUAUACCUUUUCCUCCCCAUUGUAAGAUGCACUAAUUAAUGACCACGGCACCCUGAAUAUUCCUGGUGAAUAAGCUACUCUAGUACGUCCAUGUCUGCCUCCACCAGUUGAGUGUAAGUCACCAAUUCAUGUCAAAUUUGUUUAUGCCGAUGGUAAUGGUUACUAAAUUGAUAAAAUUUAAAUAAAUAUUUUGUAAACCAACAGUACAAAAAUAAAGAGAAUGUUUCCAAGAAUACAAAACCAAAUGCUUUGGCAAGUCUCAAUAAAGGUAAAUCCCUUUUUCAUUUCAUUCUAUGUAUGUAUUUAAUUUAGAAAGAGAGAGUGAGGGCAGCUCGGGUGGCUCAGCAGUUUAGCACCGCCUUCAGCCCAAGGCAUGAUCCUGGAGACCCGGAAUGGAGUCCCAUGUAGGGCUCCCUGCAUGGAGCCUGCUUCUCCCUCUGCC